AACGUCCUACGGGGGGCAGCAGUAGGGAAUUUUCGUCAAUGGGCGCAAGCCUGAACGAGCGAUGCCGCGUGAGUGAAGAAGGCCUUCGGGUCGUAAAGCUCUGUUGCGGGGGAAAAAAGGCAGCAUCAGGAAAUGGGUGCUGACUGAUGGUGCCCCGCCAGAAAGUCACGGCUAACUACGUGCCAGCAGCCGCGGUAAUACGUAGGUGGCAAGCGUUAUCCGGAUUUAUUGGGCGUAAAGCGAGCGCAGGCGGUUGCUU
rnacentral:rRNA from 1 species